UACGUAGGGUGCGAGCGUUAAUCGGAAUUACUGGGCGUAAAGCGUGCGCAGGCGGUUUUGUAAGACAGAUGUGAAAUCCCCGGGCUCAACCUGGGAACUGCAUUUGUGACUGCAUCGCUGGAGUACGGCAGAGGGGGAUGGAAUUCCGCGUGUAGCAGUGAAAUGCGUAGAUAUGCGGAGGAACACCGAUGGCGAAGGCAAUCCCCUGGGCCUGUACUGACGCUCAUGCACGAAAGCGUGGGGAGCAAACAGG
rnacentral:rRNA from 1 species